AUUGAACGCUGGCGGCAUGCCUUACACAUGCAAGUCGAACGGUAACAGGGACUUCGGUCCGCUGACGAGUGGCGAACGGGUGAGUAAUAUGUAGGAAUAUACCUAUAGGUGGGGGAUAACUACUCGAAAGAGUAGCUAAUACCGCAUAAUAUCUACGGAUUAAAGCAGGGGAUCGUAAGACCUUGUGCCAAUAGAAUAGCCUACAUCCGAUUAGCUAGUUGGUAGAGUAAAAGCCUACCAAGGCAACGAUCGGUAACUGGUCUGAGAGGAUGAUCAGUCACACUGGAACUGAGACACUGCCCAGACUCCUACGGGAGGCUGCAGUCGAGAAUCUUUUGCAAUGCCCGCAAGGGUGACAAUGCGACGCCGCGUGGGCGAUGAAGGUCUUCGGAUUGUAAAGCCCUGUCGGCCCGGAUGAAUAGUGUACGCCUAACAUGCGUGCAUGACGACGGUACGGGCAGAGGAAGCCACGGCUAACUCCGUGCCAGCCGCCGCUGUAACAC
rnacentral:rRNA from 1 species